rnacentral:rRNA from 1 species
GUGUCAGCAGCCGCGGUAAGACGAACCGAGCGAACGUUGUUCGGAAUCACUGGGCUUAAAGGGCGCGUAGGCGGGCUCGCAAGUCUGUGGUGAAAUCCCCCGGCCCAACCGGGGAACUGCCGUGGAUACUGCGGGCCUCGAGCGAGGUAGGGGCGUGCGGAACAGAUGGUGGAGCGGUGAAAUGCGUUGAUAUCAUCUGGAACUCCGGUGGCGAAGGCGGCACGCUGGACCUCUUCUGACGCUGAGGCGCGAAAGCCAGGGGAGCAAACGGGAUUAGAUACCCCGGUAGUCC